UUAUUCAAUAUUUAUACCAAUAUCUAUAUAGUUAUUUAUAGUAUUGAUCAAUUUCAUGUAAAAAAUACCUAUUUUAAAAAUGUAUACAUCUUAUUCUAAAUUAUUAUAGAACUUUACAAUAUUAUGCCAUAAGUGCUUUCAUUAAAAUUACUAUGCUGGACAUAAUAUCUCUUAACUCUGGUCUACAAUAUUUUGUAUGUUUUUAACAUUGAAAAUUUUAACAUUGAUUAUAAGAGUUACUCCUGGGCAUUGGUCAAAGGAGAAAAAUAAUUGUUUGUUGAUUAAAUUUGUCCCUCAACCUGACAUUGUUGCUAUGCUGUACCGGCACCACUAUUCUAAUAGAUGUGCAUAUUUUUUGUAAUAUCAUAUUUCGUAAGUAAUCUAAUUAUUGUAAAAUUAUAUACCGAUUUAUUUCAAAAAAAUGUGGGCUACAAUAUAUUAAUAAUAAAUUAUGGUUUCCAUGAAAUCAGAUUUUUUUAAACCAACAAUUUUAUAAGUUUUAUUGUUAUACUUUCAAAAUAGUUUUGUAAAUAUUUCAUUGUGGGAUGAUUUAAUGGUAUGUUUUGCUAUAAUAUUUUGGUUAUAUAAAUCUUGUGCUGAUCCAAGAAACAUAUAGGUAUCCUAACUUAUCUAAAUAUUUGUUUUUUACAUGGCUUUUCAUAAAUGCACAGUUAUGUUCUCGUCAAACAUGUAAAAAGCCUUACAGCUCUCUCAUGUCAACACACAUCAUGGAACAACAUCUGUGUUUAUUUAAAUAAGUAUGAAAAUUAACUGCUAACUUUGAAAUCUUACAUUAUUUAUAUGUUUGCACUAUAUAUUACGUAUAAAAAAGCUUUCUAAGACUACUCGAUAUAUCUGUCAAAUUUUCACUCAUAACACACAAAAAUUAUUCUUACAGGAAUUAUAAAAGACUGUAAAGUAUCAUUGUACAAAAUCUAGCAGAUUCAAAACACAAACACUCAUAAUCACACCUUGUGUAUGAUACACAACAAUAACAUGGCUGACCCAUAUUACGUUAGUGAAACAACAGCUGUCCAUAGAGAACACUGUAUUUUGUGGUGAACAAAGUGAACGAAGAAUCUAAGAAUAACAAUAAAUCGAUACUAUGUCUGAGGUGUUUUUGAUGUGUAGUGUGUUGGUGGCUGGAAACUGCUGUUAAAAGGACAUCAAAGGAUAUCGAGUUUUGACAUUCCUUAAGUCUGUGAACACCUUAAACUUGUCAAAGAUUGAUUUUUGUCAGCAUCAGAGUUAUAUGAAAAUAUUCAUAUAAAUAUAGUUGACCCUUUCAGUGUCACAUCCGUUAGUAGUAAAAAAGGUAUACAAAAUGUCUUUUCUGUAAGAUCCAAGCAGACUUAGAAGCGCUGUAAUGUUAAGCAAUAGGUAAAAUUAUAUUUGUGUACUUAAUAUUCUCUGUACUUAAUUGUAAAUAAUUAGAUGAGUUGAAUUAUUAAUUUAAAAAUUGAAUUUGUUAUCAGUAUAAAAACUAUUUUGUGGUGUAUGAAUUUAGUAUUUUGGUAACUAAAUUAAUACAACACUAGUUUAAUAAGUUGAUCAGUUUUUCUUAUUGUAUAUAACCUAAAUGCCAUAGUAGUAUCUUCAGAGGGCCAUAAUAGAUUUAUUUUCAAUACAUUGCUAAACAAUAUUAUACCAAUAAUUGGUGUAAUAAUUAUUAUUUUCGUAAUAGCAGACUUAUAAACAGGUUACUAUAAUUAUAUAUAUUUUACUUCAAGUAUAAUAAGUUAAACGAAUUUUCCGCUUGUUACAGAAAAUAUGUGUAAGUGGGAAGUGUGAAAGUGGUUUAUUCAUUUUCAUCUUCAUUAACUUUUAAAAUAGUUAACCUCUGUACAUAAAAUGCACCUAAUAAUACUACACUUUGUACUGUGGAAAAGGAGUGGACAUAUACUAAAAUUAUCAGUAUAAAAAAGUCAUACAUUAAAAAAAAUUAAAAUUUCUCUAAAAUUUUAUGCGGUCUUAGUGACACAUAUAUAUAAACCAAAUAUAAAUAUUACAAUCUACAAUACAAAUCACAAUAUAAACAUUAAAGUUGUUUAAAUUUUUGUGGAUUCAUAUAUUUCUGAGACCUUUGUCUUCAUUCAAAUAUGGCAACUGUUCAAAUUUAUUCAAACUUCACAACUCCGUUAUUUAUGGAAAUAGAGAACAAUUUUAAAUUGUUUUGGAAUACUUAUAAUAUUUCAUAAACCUUUUGUUAUAAAAAGAUUUUUAUCUUAAACGGUUUUCAAGAUAUCUAAUACGUAAAAAAAAAAAAUACAUGUAUAUCCCAUAUCAAUUUUUCGAUCAACAAGAAGUAACUGGCAAAAGAAAUGCUGAAAAAAAUUCACACUUGGUAGAAAAAUUGGCUAAAUUCAGUGGCCAAUAGAACCAUUUCGUUCCAAUAUGGCGGGCAUUCUAAUUAAAAAAACAUGAGUAGUAUUAUUCUAAUCUCCCUUAAUUAGUUACUUAUUCCCAAUAAGUAAGAAGGACUAUAGUAUUUUGAUUUUAAAAUAUGGAUGCAGCUUUUACUUUUAUACCACAAUGCUGUUUUGUUCAAUUUUGGCUUUGAAUAGUGAUAUGUUACUGGUUGGGAUAUCUUCCACUUUUACAUUUUGUUAGAAAAGACAAAAUAAUUAUAACAUAGCGUUAGUGUGAAAACAUAAGCAACAAAUCUUGGAGUAGAAGCUAAAAUGCCUUAACAUCUGGUGAGCUAGCUUACAUUAAUUAUAGCUUUUACUAAAAUAAAGCUAAAUGUACUACUGAUUUCAUUGUACAUUGUAUUUUGUAAGUUAAAAUGAACGGUUUCUCAUAUUAGAUCAUUGAAGUGUCCCCUAUUUUCAUUAUUUUAAAAUUGAAGUUACUUAUAUGUAUCUAUUAUAGGAUAGGAUUACAACUACGAACAAUUAAAUUAUCUUAUUUUCCCCACCGCCACUGUGUACCUUACAAGAGUAUUGUACUAACAUUGUUAACAUAACCCUCUCACUCAAUGGGCCUUCAUUAAAUUUAAAUUCAAUAAGAUAUUGAAUUUUAAUUGUAGAACUAAUGAAUAAAAUGAAUAUUUAUGUAAAGUGUGAUUGAUUGUAUGAGAGUCUGCCAUAGCUUAUAAAUAUACCUUUUGUUUUGUUUAUCUUAAAAAUAUGUGCUUCGUCUCUUUAAUAUUACAUUAUAUUAGACAUAUGUAAAAAUUAGUGAUAUGGUAAGUUACUUAAUUUACCAUCCUAGUCAAUGCGACUGUUGUUAUUUGUAAAUAUUGUUAAAUCUGUAAAUUUAUAUUAUAAUAUAUUUUGUAUGAAUCGUAUAGAGUUCUAUAUAAUAAGACAUUGUACGUAUUGUUUUAUGUUUGUGAAAUUGUGAGAGUGUAAUGAAAUAUAUUUAAGUUUCAAUAAAAUGA